rnacentral:rRNA from 1 species
UACGAAGGGGGCUAGCGUUGUUCGGAAUUACUGGGCGUAAAGCGUGCGCAGGCGGCUUCUCAAGUCAGGGGUGAAAGCCCGGGGCUCAACUCCGGAAUUGCCUUUAAGACUGCAUCGCUAGAAUUGUGGAGAGGUGAGUGGAAUUCCGAGUGUAGAGGUGAAAUUCGUAGAUAUUCGGAAGAACACCAGUGGCGAAGGCGGUGCUCUGGGCCGGUACUGACGCUGAGGAGCGAAAGCGUGGGGAGCGAACAGG